CUGAAUUCCUGAACCAUAUGUUUAAAUUCUUUGUUUUGAAAAGUGCUGAGUGGUUCUACCAGAGAUAGAGAUUCAUAGCCAAACUCUACAGUAAGUGCCCCCCUGCUUUGGGAGGUGAAAAUGAUGAUGUUCAGCAAGAGCCAAUGUCGCCUGAGUAUAAACUAAUUAUGGGAUAGUCACAGACCUAGAAAAGUGUUUUUGGGUAUGUCCUGUGAUCUAACAUGUAUGAGAUGAUCCAAUGGGUCUUGGGGUUUUUCCAGGGGAAAAUAAGAAGGCUCUGGAGCAGAUUUAUGUGGGAACUUCCAUUUCCUCCUUAUUAAUCCUUUCUCCAUCAAAAUUUGAUCUGAUUCCUGAAAAUAAGACAAUAAUCCUAGAAUGUUCCAUUCAUUAAUUUGUCUUUCAGGUAACAUUUAUUGAGCAUCUGCUCUGUGCAGAUAUGGUUCUCCAGACAAACAGAACAUAUAUAUAUAUAUUUAUGUUUAUGUUUAAUAAAUAUAUAUACGAUUUCCAAAGAAGAAUUGGUUUCCCAUGAUUAUGGAGGCUAAGAAAUUUCACCAUGUGCUGUCUGCAAGCGGGAAUUCCAGGAAAAACAGUAGUGUAAAUUCCAGGCUGAGUCCAAAGGUCUGAGAACCAGGAACACCCGAUGGUCUAAGGUCCAGUGUGAGAAGACUAUGUCUCGGCUCAGCAGUCAGGGCCUGGCCCUCCAAGGACACUCAAGGUGAAGCAAACAGGAAGAGUCCUUGUGAUCAUUUCCAGUGAUUACCAGCUUCCUGUGGUCCAUCCCCGCAGCUGCAGGAGGCUCAUGGUCCUGUUACCCUUUCUUGCAGUUGGAAGGAGCCAGAUAAGGCCUUUGGCUGCCAAAACGGGAGACCCAGAGCUACUCCAUGGUUGGGACUAAAGAAAGAUGCUGCAAUUAUGGAUUGGAAGGCACCACUGUUUGUACCACUGACUCCCUCACUGAGGGGAGGAUUACACAGAAAUAGACAGCAGGGACAUCCAUAUGGACAAGGCUUGCCAGACCUCCGUCGGCUGACCAAGGUCACGUGACCUUUUUGUGACCUUUGGAAAUGACAGAGUGCUGUGUUCUCUUGACUCGGAGUAUGAAUGCUUGCUCAAGGGCGCACCCAAGGCGCCCGCCACACCCGUGAAGGCCAAGAGCAUCAGCACCUUCCAGCAGUUUGAGAGCAACAGCAGCGACGCCUGGGAUGCCGGCGAGGACGAUGACGGGCUCCUGGCCGUGGCAGCCGAGAGCCUGAACACCGACGUGGUCAUGGAGACGGCCCACCACGUCCUGCGCAACCACAGCCAGCGGCAGGAGCGCCGCAAGCCGCAGGAGGCGCCGGGCCCCGAGCAGGAGCCACAGCCUUCGGCAGAGCCUCCUUCGGUCCCGAGCGGUGACCUCCGGCUGGUGAAGUCCAUCAGCGAGAGCCACACAUCCUGUCCUGCAGGUGGGCGGGGGCGCGAGGAGAUGAUGUGCAGUGCUGCGAGGGAGAGGGGCUGGAGGCCUCUCGGUGCGGGAGGUUAGCGGGCGUUCCGUCCUCUUUGCCACAGGAGCUC